rnacentral:misc_RNA from 1 species
AAAAAAGGAACCCUAUAAGUAGAUACAAAACACUAGUGGGACUUCAAAAAGCUAAAUACUUGACAGAAACAACAACUUUUAGGUUCAAAAAGAAUAAAAAAAUUAAAAUAGCAAGUGGAAAAGAUUGCCAGACACUAAAGAAACUAUCAGAUUUCUAUUUCUUCCAUGAUAGCACGAGUAAAUGUCCAGAUAAUGAACAACAAAAGCACUAGGUAUCCCAAGGCAACAUUCCAGGCACAUGCUGCAAAUCACAUUAAUGCCAAACAAUGAUAAGUAAAGUUAAAAACAAACCAAAUUAAUGAAAAUUUUCUAUCCCACAUUGCCACUCCCUAAAAUCACUGAUGUCCUUUUACAUUUGAAUUUGAAGUCAUCUGCUGAUACAUGGAAACCUGGAGCUAGAAGUAAAGGCAAAAGGGCACGUUAGAAUCCCUAUCAUCAAUCAGAGUACCAUUAAAGGACAGUACAAACAUUUUCUUGGCACUUGUAAGAAAGUACCAGACUUGAACUUGAAAAGUAGGCUCUUAGUUAUCCUAUAUGGAAUUGUAGUGUUCAUCAGAAUUUAGAAGCCAUAACAUUAAAGCUAAAAUUAGCACCAGAGGUUGACCCGUAACUGACAGAAUUUUCAGCUCAAUUUUUGAUAAGAUUCCUAAUGAUUAUUGAGUUCGUUUAAAGUGUGCAGGAACUGAUUCCAUAUCACCAAAACUUUCUAAGUAAAAAUAAAGCCAGAUCCCUUGUCUUAGAAAAAUUAAGACUCCAGAAAACAGACAAUUAAAUCUGUUUUCAAAAGCAUGUCUAGGAGACUUCAGCUCAAGAAAGAACAUACACAUAUGUAUAUUGGAUAUUGUAAAAUAUCCAUAAAGAAUAUAUCAUCAGUAAGACCAGAAACUCUUAAGAUAGUAGUAUUAGAGUUGUCAUUACUUUUUAUUUUUUUAAUUUAAUGUUGACAGCAAUACAUAUUACUAGUAAAUAUGCAGGUAAUGGGUAACAUGAACUUAUAAGUCAUGAUUAUAUUCAACACAACAAAUUCAUAAGCUUCUAAGAUAAUGUUUAUAAAAUAAAAAAGAAUGCUUCAAUUUAGCUGAGAAGAAAAUAAAAUUGUUCAUUCCCAAACCUCAUUCAAACGGAAUGAAGGCUGCACA